AACUUAAGCAUAUCAAUAAGCGGAGGAAAAGAAACUAACAAGGAUUCCCCUAGUAGCGGCGAGCGAAGCGGGAAGAGCUCAAAUUUAUAAUCUGGCACCUUCGGUGUCCGAGUUGUAAUCUCUAGAAAUGUUUUCCGCGUUGGACCGCACACAAGUCUGUUGGAAUACAGCGGCAUAGUGGUGAGACCCCCGUAUAUGGUGCGGACGCCCAGCGCUUUGUGAUACAUUUUCGAAGAGUCGAGUUGUUUGGGAAUGCAGCUCAAAUUGGGUGGUAAAUUCCAUCUAAAGCUAAAUAUUGGCGAGAGACCGAUAGCGAACAAGUACCGUGAGGGAAAGAUGAAAAGCACUUUGGAAAGAGAGUUAACAGUACGUGAAAUUGUUGGAAGGGAAACGCUUGAAGUCAGACUUGCUUGCCGAGCAAUCGGUUUGCAGGCCAGCAUCAGUUUUCCGGGAUGGAUAAUGGUAGAGAGAAGGUAGCAGUUUCGGCUGUGUUAUAGCUCUCUGCUGGAUACAUCUUGGGGGACUGAGGAACGCAGUGUGCCUUUGGCGGGGGUUUCGACCUCUUCACACUUAGGAUGCUGGUGGAAUGGCUUUAAACGACCCGUCUUGAAACACGGACCAAGGAGUCUAACAUGCUUGCGAGUAUUUGGGUGUCAAACCCGGAUGCGUAAUGAAAGUGAAUG
rnacentral:rRNA from 1 species